GUUUGAAUCGUUCAAUUCGAAGGUCAAAGUAGCCAAUUUGAUGGUCGAAGUAGUCAAAAAAAACAUUCGAAAUUCAAAGUAUUUUUUCUUCUAUUCCUUCACUCGAGCUAAGUAAAUGUGCUCCAUAGUGUAACAUGUUGAUGAGCAUUUUAUUUCAAAUGUAUUCCAUUACCAAAUCUAUUUCAGGUGUGUAGAGUAGAACAUCUUGAAUGGUAUCUGUUCUCAAGCCUGAAUGAGGGGAGAAAGGCCUAAAGAGUUGGAACUAAGCCAAAAUGAUGUACUUUUUGCCUAGAUGGUGUAGUCCUUCACCAAUUCCAAAUCAAGACCUUCAUAUAGAAAGACUAAUUGUAGAGAAUCAAAAUCAUCCCUGUGAAAAUGUAUAAUGAAGCAGAAGUAUUCUUAAAGGGGUUGUUCACCUUUUGAACACUUUUUUCAGUUCAGUUAUUUAUAAAGUGUUCACCAUCAAUAAACACUUUUUUUCAA